GCCUGGCUAGCUCAAUCGGUAGAGCGUUUGACUCUUAAUCAAAAGGUUGCGGGUUCGACCCCCGCGUCGGGUU
rnacentral:tRNA from 1 species